rnacentral:rRNA from 1 species
UGAGGAAUAUUGGACAAUGGAUGAAAAUCUGAUCCAGCCAUGCCGCGUGCAGGAAGGCGGCCCUAUGGGUUGUAAACUGCUUUUGUACGGGAGCAAUAAGGUCUACGAGUAGAUUGAUGAGAGUACUGUACGAAUAAGCAUCGGCUAACUCCGUGCCAGCAGCCGCGGUAAUACGGAGGAUGCGAGCGUUAUCCGGAUUUAUUGGGUUUAAAGGGUGCGUAGGCUGUUAUAUAAGUCAGUGGUAAAAGGUACAGGCUUAACUUGUAUACGCCAUUGAAACUGUAUAGCUAGGAUAUGGAUGAAGUGUGCGGAAUGUGUGGUGUAGCGGUGAAAUGCAUAGAUAUCACACAGAACACCGAUAGCGAAGGCAGCACACUAAGGCAAUAUUGACGCUGAGGCA